rnacentral:rRNA from 1 species
AACGAACGCUGGCGGCAUGCCUAACACAUGCAAGUCGAACGAACUCUUCGGAGUUAGUGGCGCACGGGUGCGUAACGCGUGGGAAUCUGCCCUUGGGUACGGAAUAACUCAGAGAAAUUUGUGCUAAUACCGUAUAAUGUCUUCGGACCAAAGAUUUAUCGCCCAAGGAUGAGCCCGCGUAAGAUUAGCUAGUUGGUGGG